rnacentral:rRNA from 1 species
CAGUAGCCGCGGUAAAACGUAGGUCCCGAGCGUUGUCCGGGUUUAUUGGGCGUAAAGCGAGCGCAGGCGGUUAGGUAAGUCUGAAGUUAAAGGCUGUGGCUUAACCAUAGUACGCUUUGGAAACUGUUUAACUUGAGUGCAAGAGGGGAGAGUGGAAUUCCAUGUGUAGCGGUGAAAUGCGUAGAUACAUGGAGGAACACCGGUGGCGAAAGCGGCUCUCUGGCUUGUAACUGACGCUGAGGCUCGAAAGCGUGGGGAGCAAACAGGAUUAGAUACCCCCGUAGUCCCUGUCUCUUAUACA